GCAGAUGCGGGGCGAGCGGCGGGGGUAAGAUGUGGGGGGCAAGGGUUGUGCGGAAUUCAGUGGGGUAAAGGGGUCGGAGGCGGCCAACUAAGUCAUACGUGAAAUCCCUCGGCUUAACCGGGGAACUGCGUCGGAUACUGGAUGGCUUGAGGUCGGGAGAGGGAUGCGGAAUUCCAGGUGUAGCGGUGAAAUGCGUAGAUAUCUGGAGGAACACCGGUGGCGAAGGCGGCAUCCUGGACCGAUACUGACGCUGAGGAGCGAAAGCCAGGGGAGCAAACGGGAUUAGAUACCCGGGUAGUC
rnacentral:rRNA from 1 species